rnacentral:lncRNA from 1 species
CCAUGAAAAUAAGGAAUAGGAGGAUAGUGGUUUAGAGCAGGGUUUCCCAAACUCUAUCCUGGGGCCCCCCCUGGGUGCACGUUUAGGUUUUUACCCUAGCACUACACAGCUGAGUCAAAUAAUCACAGCUUGAUGAUGAGUUGGUUAUGAUGAGUUGGUUAUGUGAAUCAGCUGUGUAGUGUUAGAACAAAAACCAAAAUGUGCACCCAGGAGGGGCCUCAGGCCUGAGUUUGGGAAACCCUGGUUUAGAGGUAGAUCAAGCUCACCGACGUAAAAUUAGGACAGAAAAUCAGGACAGAUUACAUUUGAGUCAUUUAGCAGACACUGCUACCCACUGGGACAAUCAGUGCAUUCUAUGAGGUAGCAUUCAACUAAGGUAGGUAAAACCAUAGAAAUAAAAAGACUAGAGCGGACAUGGGCCUAAUCUAAUUCAAUGGUACCUUAGCUAAAACAACCUAUCAGAUCAUACCUCUGCAACAUCUUUAAAUGCUUAUCCCCAGCCCCUUCUGUCCCCCUGAUCGAUCGAAGCAAGAAGCCUGGACAGUCUGCUCCCUCCAAGAAACAACCUCCUCAUCAUCACCAAAACAUCUCCUACUAUCUGUCAACUAGAGGACAGUUAAUUCAGCUCUCCCCAGCCCGCCAUAGUGAAGCCACCUCAACUAAAGGCCCCAAAGCCACCAGACAAUUAUAAUGGGUAACCUAACCUGGACCUCUCCAUUCCCAUGAACCCCUUGGCUGUAUCUCAACAGUCCAAAGAUCCAGCUCCAGUAAACCUACUCCUCCUUCUCACCCACCUUCAAAGGUCCCCAACACAAAACCAGGCACAUGGAAGGUGAGCGGAUAAAUCAAUCAAACACUCUUUUUAUAUCAAUAGUUACAUCAGCAGAG